rnacentral:rRNA from 1 species
CAGUAGCCGCGGUAAUACGUAGGGUGCAAGCGUUAAUCGGAAUUACUGGGCGUAAAGCGUGCGCAGGCGGUUUGUUAAGACAGAUGUGAAAUCCCCGGGCUCAACCUGGGAACUGCAUUUGUGACUGGCAAGCUAGAGUCUGGCAGAGGGGGGUGGAAUUCCGCGUGUAGCAGUGAAAUGCGUAGAUAUGCGGAGGAACACCAGUGGCGAAGGCGGCCAUCUGGGACAACACUGACGCUGAGGCACGAAAGCGUGGGGAGCAAACAGGAUUAGAUACCCGGGUAGUCCCUGUCUCUUAUAC